UACGUAGGGUGCGAGCGUUGUCCGGAAUUAUUGGGCGUAAAGAGCUCGUAGGUGGCGGGUCACGUCGGGUGUGAAAGCCCGGGGCUUAACUCCGGGUCUGCAUUCGAUACGGGUCUGCUGGGGUCCGGCAGGGGAGACUGGAAUUCCUGGUGUAGCGGUGAAAUUCGUAGAUAUUCGGAAGAACACCAGUGGCGAAGGCGGCUCACUGGCCCGGUACUGACGCUGAGGUGCGAAAGCGUGGGGAGCAAACAGG
rnacentral:rRNA from 1 species